UACUUGCUUUUUCUUCCUGCUGCUUUCAGAUUUGCUUUCUGAAGGAUCAGUUUAAACUCCUCCCAUAAUAGCAGAAUAACCCCAAGCCCUCGGAGCAGCAUCUGUUUUUAAAAGGAAGCCAUUUGUUUAUCACUGAACUUUCAUAGCAAAGAUGUGUCUUUAUCUUGGAGAAAUGUUGUUUGGAUAGGACCUCAGGAGGUCCCUUGUCCAGGGUAAAAUUAGGGAAUGUACAACCAUAUCUACACUUUCACUUAGAAGGUGUAUGCAAACAGAACAACCCAAAGCUUGCAAGUUAACAUCAGUUGGCUGAUUUCAGAUGCUACUGGGAUACAUCAGAACGAAGACCAUCUACAUUUAAUAAUUAAUCAGCAGUUUAUUUAGAAGUACUGAGGCAAAAUACUUUCAAAAAAUUCCAAUUUGCAUUGCAAAUGAAAAUAGUAACUUCAAACAAUGUAUCAGGAAAAUGUUGAGAAAAAGGUUAAAACAAGGAGAUCUUUCUAGUGAAUGUGAUUACGCAGAUGUUUUGGCAACUUGUAUUUUGUUGUCGUCUACCCUUCUGCUCUUGCAUCAAUGCCCCUGAAUUUUUAAAGCCUUUCAGUCCCACCUUUAUUUUUAUUAUUAUUUCUUUUCUUUUUUUUUUUUUUUUGUGAUACAGCCUUAUGACUUUGUUUUAUUCUUACCUGUAAUUCAUAUAUUGUUCAAGGACUUGAUAACAAAAUUCAGCUAGCUCACUUGGAAUCCUAUUUUGUUUUUCAAGAGCUUUUUAUAUAACAGUAAUUUUCUUAUGAGGCAUUUUUAACUGUCAUCCCUUGUACACAAAUGCAGGAACUACUUCACCUACAGACAAGUCAACUGUGUGCCUACUGGGUACAACAGCCUGUGGAACAGAUCUGCUGCUUCUGGUCUUUAAUUUCUUCUUCACUGCACCUGUUCUAUGUAGUGUCACCUCAGAGAUCUGACCUUGGCGAGGCGUUUCCAUGCACCGUGCUGAUGUGGAGCUGCUUAGCGCAGAGCCAUGAGACACUAUCAGCCUACCGCUGACUGUGGGUCUUUCCAGUGUUAAUGAGAGCUGGGCCUUAGUUUUCAAUGAAUAUCUUCCCGUAAAAGUAUGUCUGAAAGAAAAAUGAACUGGAAAUCAUGGGUUUAUACUGGGGGAAAAAAAAAAAAGUGUUUGUGGCAGUGGCUGUUGCCCAAGCAUUUGGUGUCCCUUAGCUACUUCAGAUCACACAGCAUGCUUCCUACUCAAGGACUCGUCUAGAAAUUGGCAACCUAAGUUGCAACUCUUUCAGCACACUUUUUCAAUUUGGCUUUGGCAGCUGUGGGAAAGUAUAAAUAACUUUUUUUUUUUAAAUUAUUAUUAUUAACAUAAAAAAAAUUAGAUUGCAAAUUUCCCCCAAAAUUGUAAAAUUUAAAAUCCAAAGAAUUGAUGACCUGGCUGGAAUACAGAACUAGAAGGUCUCCACAGGAACCUAUCAUCGUUUGAAGACACAUUACAGGAGUUAAGAUGAAGGCGACACACUGUGCUGGUUCGAUUUUGACCAUUGAGUGCUUUGCUAUGAAACAUGUGGUUGAGUCACCAUCCCUGGAAGUCUUUAAAAAGUGUUUAGAUGUAGAGCUUAGUGAUAUGGUUUAGUGGAGGACUUGUUAGUCUUAGGUCAGAGGUUGGACUAGGUGAUCUUGGAGGUCUCUUCCAACCUAGAUGAUUCUGUGAUUCUGUGUUAUUUUUGGUGAAUUU
rnacentral:lncRNA from 1 species